CAGCAGCCGCGGUAAUGCGUAGGGUGCGAGCGUUAAUCGGAAUUACUGGGCGUAAAGCGUGCGCAGGCGGUUGUGUAAGACAGGUGUGAAAUCCCCGGGCUUAACCUGGGAACUGCAUUUGUGACUGGCGGGCUAGAGUAUGGCAGAGGGGGGUAGAAUUCCACGUGUAGCAGUGAAAUGCGUAGAGAUGUGGAGGAAUACCGAUGGCGAAGGCAGCCCCCUGGGCCAACGCUGACGCUCAUGCACGAAAGCGUGGGGAGCAAACAGGAUUAGAUACCCCUGUAGUCCCUGUCUCUUAUAC
rnacentral:rRNA from 1 species